rnacentral:rRNA from 1 species
GGAAUUGUUCGCAAUGGACGAAAGUCUGACGACGCAACGCCGCGUGAAGGAUGAAGGUCUUCGGAUUGUAAACUUCUGUUGGGUGGGAAGAAUGGCCUUUGGGUUAAUACCCCGGAGGUUUGACGGUACCACCUGAGGAAGCCCCGGCUAACUCUGUGCCAGCAGCCGCGGUAAUACAGAGGGGGCAAGCGUUGUUCGGAAUUACUGGGCGUAAAGGGCGCGUAGGCGGCCUGUUAAGUCGGACGUGAAAUUCCUCGGCUCAACCGGGGAACUGCGUCCGAUACUGGCGGGCUUGAGUUCGGGAGAGGAAUGUGGAAUUCCAGGUGUAGCGGUGAAAUGCGUAGAUAUCUGGAGGAACACCGGUGGCGAAGGCGGCAUUCUGGACCGACACUGACGCUGAGGCGCGAAAGCCAGGGGAGCAAA